CGAUUACUGCCUUUUGAGUUCUAAUAUUCACUUGUAUUGUUGCUCUCUAGCGCACGGUGCAGGCGCUAGAAACCCUAAACUUCGGCAUCGAAGAUGGCGGCGGCGUGCAUGCGUUGUCCUAAAGGGAGCAGGACAUCCAGAUGAUCCUCGCCACCGACGUGCACCUCGGUACCAAGAAUUGGGACUUCUAGAUGGUAGUAGCCCAAAUCUUUCGAGACUAACCAAAUGCUUACCUCAAAUGUUUAUUAUAUUUGAUAUCUAGUUCUAGAUCUGUUCGUAUUGACCUCUUUCUGGAUCUUGCUAUGUGCAUGCAUAUAUUGUGAUGCAAUGUAUAGUCAACUGAGAGAAAUAUUGGCGCGUAGUAUCAGUCGAGGAAUAUUGAAUCAUAGGUAUGUAACUCUAGUUGUUAAUUUUGCCGUUGACAGCAGCGUCGGGUAGUCUUGAGGAUUUGUCUAGCACAAAGAGUUGGAAGGUUUCCGGAGUGAGUGUGAUACACAUGUGUACCGUGUACGUUCUAGCUCAGUAGUUGUGACAUCACAAAUGGUAUUCGUCUCAAUGUAAUACCAUAAAUAUGCGUUGUGGAAUUGGUUUACACUAGAAUUUGUCAAAAAUAAAGGAUAAAUCAACUUAUACCAAGCAUCUAAUGUUUGUGUUGAUGUGUUUGUUCACUGGAAUCAGUGGGAAGAAUGGCCCGUAGCUCAGUGCUAAUUCUCAUUAAUUAUGCUUAUAAUUUCACUUUGUCACUUGACCAUGGUGCACUGCAAAAUAACAAUAGCACUUUUGUAUAUAUUAUUGUUAUUAUCCUUAAGGUAUCUACAUUAUUAACCUUGGCAAGACCUGUGAGAAGCUUCAGUUGGCAUUGAGAAUCCAUAGGGCAUCAUUGUGCAGUCUGCUAGGCCCUAUGUCCAGAGGGCUGUCCUCAAGUUUGCGUAGUACACUGGUGCUCAUGCCAUUGCCGGCAGGCACACUCCUGGUACAUUCACCAACCAGUUGCAAACCUCCUUCAGCGAGCCACGCCUUCUUAUCCUCACUGAUCCAGGACUGGUCACCAGUCCAUUAAAGGCUUGUUUGAUAUCAAGUAUCAUCAAAAUCCAUAUGGACUACGGAGGCUGCGCUCGGAAACAUUUUCACCACUGUGUUGGUUUCAAUUCAUAGUCGAUCUUUUUUCUUCUACAGGACAUAGAGGAAGCAAAGGAGAAGGAGGAAGAAGAGGCUCUGGUUGCUCCGGGCUAUGGCGCAGUUGCAGAAUAUACUGCCCCUAGAGCUGACAACUGGGGUGACGAGUGGGGAGCUGGUGAGGGUGAGGCCGUGAGGCUGCAGCUCCACCUGCUGGCGUCCCGGCUGCUGGUGCAGACUGGGUUGCUGCUCCAGCUCCUCCCGCUGAUGCGUGAUGAUGUGUGGGAUGCAGCUGCGCCUCCUCCAGCAGCAGCAGCCGCCUAGAGAUGGGAACAUGUCGCUGCCCUUGUCACGGCAUCUACUCUAGAUCUCAUCUGGAUACUCUAAUAUUCACCCCAAUUCACAUGUAUUGAGAUGGAUUCAGGUCACAAUCCAUCUCAACACAUAUAGAUUAGAAUAAAUAAUAGAGUAAGCAAACAAGCCCUAAACCCUAACUGGGAGUGAAGAGUAAGUGAGCAUGAUUGUUGGCUUACACUAGUCUUCAACAGAACUUGUUAGUAGACACUGCUGGAGUAUAUUUGAAUUUUUAGUGUGGUAGAUGAGUAUCAGUUUUGUGUUAUUGGCUCUGCUUUGCUUAGAGAGCGAGUGGAUCGCGCUCCAUUUUUGUUAUCUCAAAUGGAUAGAUCUUUGUUUUAACCGUAUUUUGUGAAA